UUCUAGCCCGGAUAGUAGCGGAAAGCCCGGAGCUUAAAAAACUAAUUUUUCUUGGCAAAAAAAAGCAACCAAAGGAAGCUCUUUCUUUGACUUAGAAAAAUAGUUUUUUUAGUGAGGACUUGCAGCGGAUAGCCGGAAUAGCU
rnacentral:sRNA from 1 species